rnacentral:sRNA from 1 species
GCCAGCACAGUGGCCUGCGCCCGUGGCCCCAGGUACUCAGGAGGCUGAGGCAGGAGGAUGACUUGAGCCCAGGGGUUCAAGGUCAGCCUGGGCAACAAAUGGAGACCCUACCUUUA